rnacentral:rRNA from 1 species
ACUGGAGUUUGAUCCUGGCUCAGAUUGAACGCUGGCGGCAUGCCUUACACAUGCAAGUCGAACGGCAGCACGGGUGCUUGCACCUGGUGCGAGUGGCGGAACGGGUGAGUAAUACAUCGGAACGUACCUUAUCGUGGGGGAUAACGCAGCGAAAGUUGCGCUAAUACCGCAUACGCCCUGAGGGGGAAAGCGGGGGACCGUAAGGCCUCGCGCGAUUAGAGCGGCCGAUGUCUGAUUAGCUUGUUGGUGAGGUAAAAGCUCACUAAGGCGAUGAUCAGUAGCUGGUCUGAGAGGACGAUCAGCCACACUGGGACUGAGACACGGCCCAGACUCCUACGGGGGGCAGCAAUUAGGAAUCUUGCGCAAUGGGGGAAACCCCUGACGCAGCGACGUCGCGUGAAGG